rnacentral:lncRNA from 13 species
CAGUUGACUGUGAAGAUCAAGAAUAGGACCACUAUUAUUACACAAUGGCAAUCAGGAAGAAUACUUUUACCACAAGGCUGAUAUAUGAAAGAAUAAGCAAACAUCAAUUGUUACAAGGCAUUCAAAGUUUUCUC